rnacentral:rRNA from 1 species
UACGUAGGGUGCAAGCGUUAAUCGGAAUUACUGGGCGUAAAGCGUGCGCAGGCGGUUGUGCAAGACAGAUGUGAAAUCCCCGGGCUUAACCUGGGAACUGCAUUUGUGACUGCACAGCUAGAGUACGGCAGAGGGGGGAUGGAAUUCCGCGUGUAGCAGUGAAAUGCGUAGAGAUGUGGAGGAACACCGAUGGCGAAGGCAGCCCCCUGGGCUAGUACUGACGCUCAUGCACAAAAGCGUGGGGAGCAAACAGG